AGCGGCGGACGGGUGAGUAGCACGUGGGUAACCUGCCCAAGAGACUGGGAUAACACCUGGAAACAGAUGCUAAUACCGGAUAACAACACUAGACGCAUGUCUAGAGUUUGAAAGAUGGUUCUGCUAUCACUCUUGGAUGGACCUGCGGUGCAUUAGCUAGUUGGUAAGGUAACGGCUUACCAAGGCAAUGAUGCAUAGCCGAGUUGAGAGACUGAUCGGCCACAUUGGGACUGAGACACGGCCCAAACUCCUACGGGAGGCAGCAGUAGGGAAUCUUCCACAAUGGACGAAAGUCUGAUGGAGCAACGCCGCGUGAGUGAAGAAGGGUUUCGGCUCGUAAAGCUCUGUUGGUAGUGAAGAAAGAUAGAGGUAGUAACUGGCCUUUAUUUGACGGUAAUUACUUAGAAAGUCACGGCUAACUACGUGCCAGCAGCCGCGGUAAUACGUAGGUGGCAAGCGUUGUCCGGAUUUAUUGGGCGUAAAGCGAGUGCAGGCGGUUCAAUAAGUCUGAUGUGAAAGCCUUCGGCUCAACCGGAGAAUUGCAUCAGAAACUGUUGAACUUGAGUGCAGAAGAGGAGAGUGGAACUCCAUGUGUAGCGGUGGAAUGCGUAGAUAUAUGGAAGAACACCAGUGGCGAAAGCGGCUCUCUGGUCUGCAACUGACGCUGAGGCUCGGAAGCAUGGGUAGCGAACAGGAUUAGAUACCCU
rnacentral:rRNA from 1 species